UACGUAGGUGGCAAGCGUUGUCCGGAUUUACUGGGUGUAAAGGGCGUGUAGACGGGAUGGUAAGUCAGAUGUGAAAUAUCGGGGCUCAACCCCGGGACUGCAUCUGAUACUGCUGUUCUUGAGUAUCGGAGAGGAAAGCGGAAUUCCUAGUGUAGCGGUGAAAUGCGUAGAUAUUAGGAGGAACACCAGUGGCGAAGGCGGCUUUCUGGACGAAAACUGACGUUGAGGCGCGAAAGCGUGGGGAGCAAAC
rnacentral:rRNA from 1 species